CCUACGGUAGGCAGCAGUAGGGAAUAUUGCUCAAUGGGGGAAACCCUGAAGCAGCAACGCCGCGUGGAGGAUGAAGGUUUUCGGAUUGUAAACUCCUUUUGUUAGAGAAGAUAAUGACGGUAUCUAACGAAUAAGCACCGGCUAACUCCGUGCCAGCAGCCGCGGUAAUACGGAGGGUGCAAGCGUUACUCGGAAUCACUGGGCGUAAAGAGCGCGUAGGCGGGAUAGCAAGUCAGAUGUGAAAUCCUAUGGCUUAACCAUAGAACUGCAUUUGAAACUGUUAUUCUAGAGUAUGGGAGAGGUAGGUGGAAUUCUUGGUGUAGGGGUAAAAUCCGUAGAGAUCAAGAGGAAUACUCAUUGCGAAGGCAGCUUGCUGCAGCGGAACUGACGCUGAUGCUCGAAAGCGCGGGUAUCGAACAGGAUUAGAUACCCCAGUAGUC
rnacentral:rRNA from 1 species